rnacentral:rRNA from 1 species
UCCCGCAACGAGCGCAACCCUUAUCCUUUGUUGCCAGCGGUUCGGCCGGGAACUCAAAGGAGACUGCCAGUGAUAAACUGGAGGAAGGUGGGGAUGACGUCAAGUCAUCAUGGCCCUUACGAGUAGGGCUACACACGUGCUACAAUGGCAUAUACAAAGAGAAGCGACCUCGCGAGAGCAAGCGGACCUCAUAAAGUAUGUCGUAGUCCGGAUUGGAGUCUGCAACUCGACUCCAUGAAGUCGGAAUCGCUAGUAAUCGUAGAUCAGAAUGCUACGGUGAAUACGUUCCCGGGCCUUGUACACACCGCCCGUCACACCAUGGGAGUGGGUUGCAAAAGAAGUAGGUAGCUUAACCUUCGGGAGGGCGCUUACCACUUUGUGAUUCAUGACUGGGGUGAAGUCGUAACAAGGUAGCCGAAUCACUAGUGA